GUGUGUGUGUGUGUGCGCGCGCGCGCGCGCUUUAGUUUCUGAACACAUCACAUAGCCUUAUUAGCAAAAGAUAAAUGGCGCAAGAAGUAUAUACCUCAGUUAGAAAUUAGGGUGGGGUUUGUGUGUCCUGGUACUUCUGUUUACUGUAGUGGUGGGUAAUUGGUAGAUAUUUUCAUUGUUAGUUUGUCUCUUUAAAUAUUACCUCCUGAGUAAAUACCUUGCUUUGCUGACGGCAUAGCCACCAACUCUGCUCUUUCCCUAAGCAUGGAAAGUCCAGUCGAGUUCACUGAAGCUGAGUCAGCUUCAGCCUGGCUGCUCCCCAGCUCUGUACCUGCCAUUUCUCCUCACCUCACACUGUACAAUAAGAAAACUUGCAAAACCAAAGCAAAGUGCCAUCCAAACAGUAAUGACUAAUUGCCUUCCCAGUCUGCUUGGAUACCACUCAUCAAGACCUUAUGGAAGAAAGUGUCAACCUUCCUCCUCUCUGCCUUCAACUGUCAACGUUGACACAAAUUUCAGCAAAAACCAUGUAGUGUAGAAAUGCAUUUCUAGGUUUGGGUCCCCAUUAUUGUCUCUGGGAAGAGUUCUGGAGUGGAGCAACAACGUAUGAUCAGGCCAGCUUGUCCCUUUUGUCUGGCCAGGUGUUUGGGGAGUUGCCACAGGGUAGAAGGAGGAAGUCCAAACGGCCAAAGCCUGAAGUUUGCCUUCCCAGAAGCGUUUAAACACCCAGGUUUUCCUAUACUCUACCAACUCUGUUUGGCUUUUCCUCCAUAGUCUUAGUAACUUGGUGUUAAAACUUGAAGAGUGAUUAGUUUGAAAGCAUAGUUUGCAGGUUAACUAGCCCUUUAUAUUUUUAAAUUAUAUACAGAGAUUAUAUAUUGAGAUUAUAUACAGAAUAGUCUAGUGCAGUAGUCCAAAGGAGCAUCACAGUUGCUAGUUUCCAUUUGCGGAGGGAUCCGACCCGUCAGUACAGUUGCUGAAAUGCUUCCCUUCUUGGGUAUCAUUACCUUAAUGGCUGUUGGCUUGAAGCCAUUUUAGGCUGUGUGUGACUCGACUCUAGUGAUGACUGAGAGGCAUUGGAAGCGACAGAACAUGUUCCCAAACAGAUAUGUGCCAAGCUCUAACCCCUCUGAGCUCCCUCGCCUUCCUGUUUGUUUAAUGCCCAGUUUUUACUUCCCUGUCUUUCACCUGCUGAAAGUCUGAUCAUUUUUAGUAGACAAGGACCAUAUGGUUCCAAUCAUUCUCUAGUACAGGGAUGGGAUGAGGAGGUUUGGGGCAGAGAGAUUGGCUAGUGAGAUCCUUGGUGCUGAGGCUCUAGAUGUUGAUUUUAAGUGGGAGUGAUUAACAGCCCCACAGUUCACAAAGUAGUUUUAAUGAUUAACACUCAGGUAUGCUUCUGACAUCGAAUUGUGACCUUUGAAAGUAGCACCAUCACUGACGUAUGACACCCCAAGGGAGAAGCUAGAAAAUGGUUUGCUAGGUGUAUUGAAGUGCUUUAGAUGCAUCAAAGUUUUGCUUUAUUGGAAAUAUGCUAGAAGGCUAUAGCCAAAUUAUUCCGGGUUUCUGAAUGAACAAAGACCACAGACACAAAAUCAAGUCCAUUAAGUUACUAAUAAGCAUUUUUCCACACUAACAUUAGACCUGAAAAUACUGCCAAGAAAUUUUUCUUCCAUUAUGAGGUGUUCAGUGUAAUAUUUAACAUUUCAGCCAGUAGGUGUUUAAGCCAUUUGAAGAGUCAAGAUAUAUAAUCCAAAGUGUUACAGUGUUCCCUGAGCAUUGAGAGCGAAGCCACAGUUCAUUGCGGACCUGUAGUUAGAUCCACAGACAUAAUGACGCGCACUGGAGGGCUACUGCAUGCUUUAAAGAGCCUGUGCUUAACCAUCCAUUUCCAGCUAAAUUAAAGAUCAUUGUAUUCAAAAUCCCCAUUUGGAUUCAAGCCAGGCUAGCUUUCUUGUUCACAGACUUGACUAUGGAGUAACCUUGAAUACAUGUUCAGCAAGUCUAGUUUUCGAUAACAUACAUGAAGCUUUUCAGAAGUAUGGAUUGCCCCUCUGACCUGGAAGGAAACUUAGGCCAGAAAGACCUGCAUCAAACACUUUGGAGAUCUCUUGUUCUUGCCAUCUCCCUUUCACAGUGAGAUAGCUUGAUUUUUAGAAUUGUGUAUGCUUUCUUGGUUCCUUUUCUAUAAAUCUAGAACACAGAAAUUGUAUUAAAAAGGGAAAAUGUAUUUAGAAGGGUGUUUCUCAAGAGCACAGAAUUACUGGCUGAGGCAAGUGUUUCUGAAUAGAGAUAAUUGGGCCCUCUACAUAGAAAUGCUAGAAAAUUAAAUUAGGUUCAAAGAGAAUCAAAUUACACCAAAGCUGAGAUAAGGUCUCUGCUGAGAAGAGGUUUUACUGUGGCCCAGGUUAGCCUAGAGACGUCCAACCUAAGGGCAGAAUUCUACAGAGGAGUAGCGUGGGCUCACUGACCUAUAUAUCCAGUUAAAACCAGCUUUCCCACCUGACCAUUAGGUUAAAACUUGAAAGUACGUUUUGGGCUUAGCUCAGAAAGUGGAUAUGGCAUCUGGUACUUCUGUCAUUCAACUCAAUAUGAAAAAAGUUUAAAGCAGUCCUGGAGGUAGUGGUAUCACAGAAUGCACAGGGCACACUGUCUCCACCUUCAGAUCUCAAUCAAAUUCCCACGGGAGUCUGAAAUGUUCAACCCUAAGGAAGACUUCUGACCAGCCUGGACACUUGAACAAAAAUGGUCAGCAUGAGAGCCACCUGCUGGUAAUUACUGUGCAGUUUCUGUGGACGAAUCUGCUUUAGCUUAAGGUGGAGAAGAGGGUCCCUUAUACCAUAGGAUGAUUCUUAUCUGAUUUAUGAAGGAAAUACAUGACAUUGAGAGGUGGUCAUAGUAAAACAGGCAAUGGAGAAAUUCCCUUAUUUAAGCACAUCAAAUAUUUAACUGCCCCAAGAGAUGUAGAAGACAGGACUGCCAAGGCCGUUUUUCGAGAUUUUGUAUGAUUGUCUUUUGCCUGUAUGUUUAGAUGUGCGCCAUAUGUGUGCCCAUUACCUGUGGAGGACAGAAGAGGGCGUCAGAAUUGGAGUUAGAGAUGGUUGGUAGCUGCCAUUUGGGUGCUGAGAACUGAACUCAGGCAUUCUCCAAGAGCAGCAAGUACUUUUCACCAGUUAGUCUUCUCUCCAGCCUGUACUGGCAAGUCAGACUGUAUUUGUCAGGAUUAGUGACAACUGCUACAAAAGAUGGGUUUGGUGAAAACGAAGUAGAGCAUGACGUUGCUCCUAGGAACUAUUCUGUUAUAAACCAGUGCUACUUUAUGUGAAGUGGCUGGCGCUAUUCUUGCAGUUAUAUGAACUUUGCAUAUCAAAACAGAUGUCAGAAUGUCAAGGGAAAACAUGGUUUGGGGCUGAAGAGAUCUUGAUUUGAGUCCUGUAUCUGCUAUUUAUCAACAACAUGACAUGACAUUGGAGCUGUCUAGCCCUA